rnacentral:rRNA from 1 species
GAUGAACGCUAGCGGCAGGCCUAAUACAUGCAAGUCGAACGGUGUAGCAAUACACAGUGGCGCACGGGUGCGUAACACGUAUGCAACCUACCUUACAUUGGGGGAUAGCCUUCCGAAAGGGAGAUUAAUACCGCAUAAGACAGUAACUAGGCAUCUAGUAGCUGUUAAAGAUUUAUCGAUGUAAGCUGGGCAUGCGUCCAAUUAGUUAGUUGGCGAGGUAAUGGCUCACCAAGACGAUGAUUGGUAGGGGAACUGAGAGGUCAAUCCCCCACACUGGCACUGAGAUACGGGCCAGACUCCUACGGGAGGCAGCAGUAGGGAAUAUUGGGCAAUGGGCGCAAGCCUGACCCAGCCAUGCCGCGUGCAGGAAGAAGGCGUUAUGCGUUGUAAACUGCUUUUAUACAGGAAGAAACGACCCUUGCGAGGGGCAUUGACGGUACUGUAUGAAUAAGCACCGGCUAACUACGUGCCAGCAGCCGCAGUAAAAC